rnacentral:rRNA from 1 species
AGUGAACGCUGGCGGUAGGCCUAACACAUGCAAGUCGAACGGCAGCACAGUAAGAGCUUGCUCUUACGGGUGGCGAGUGGCGGACGGGUGAGGAAUACAUCGGAAUCUACUUUUUCGUGGGGGAUAACGUAGGGAAACUUACGCUAAUACCGCAUACGACCUACGGGUGAAAGCAGGGGAUCUUCGGACCUUGCGCGAUUGAAUGAGCCGAUGUCGGAUUAGCUAGUUGGCGGGGUAAAGGCCCACCAAGGCGACGAUCCGUAGCUGGUCUGAGAGGAUGGUCAGCCACACUGGAACUGAGACACGGUCCCGGCUCCUACGGGAGGCAGCAGUGGGGAAUAUUGGCCAAUGGGCGCAAGCCUGAUCCAGCCAUACCGCGUGGGUGAAGAAGGCCUUCGGGUUGUAAAGCCCUUUUGUUGGGGAAGAAAAGCAGCAGGUUAAUACCCCGCUGUUCUGACGGUACCCAAAGAAUAAGCACCGGCUAACUUCGUGC